AGUGAACGCUGGCGGUAGGCCUAACACAUGCAAGUCGAACGGCAGCACAGGAGAGCUUGCUCUCUGGGUGGCGAGUGGCGGACGGGUGAGGAAUACAUCGGAAUCUACUCUGUCGUGGGGGAUAACGUAGGGAAACUUACGCUAAUACCGCAUACGACCUACGGGUGAAAGCAGGGGACCUUCGGGCCUUGCGCGAUUGAAUGAGCCGAUGUCGGAUUAGCUAGUUGGCGGGGUAAAGGCCCACCAAGGCGACGAUCCGAAGCUGGUCUGAGAGGAUGAGCAGCCACACUGGAACUGAGACACGGUCCAGACUCCUACGGGAGGCAGCAGUGGGGAAUAUUGGACAAUGGGCGCAAGCCUGAUCCAGCCAUACCGCGUGGGUGAAGAAGGCCUUCGGGUUGUAAAGCCCUUUUGUUGGGAAAGAAAUCCAGCUGGCUAAUACCCGGUUGGGAUGACGGUACCCAAAGAAUAAGCACCGGCUAACUUCGUGCCAGCCGCCGCGGUAA
rnacentral:rRNA from 1 species